rfam:Gossypium raimondii Chr01_contig_78, whole genome shotgun sequence.
UAUUAAAAAUUUCAUACAUUUCUACUGUUAAAAACUAAUGUGACUAAAAGAAUAAUAAAAUAGUUACACAUAACAUGUCACAUGUACCUCAUGCUAUCAUAUAUAGAUUAGCUUUUAAUUGUAAAAUGGACGAAAUCUUUAACA